UUUAUAAAUAUAAGAAGUCUGACCUGCCCAGUGAAAUUUUAACGGCCGCGGUACUCUGACCGUGCAAAGGUAGCAUAAUCACUUGCCUUAUAAUUGAAGGCUAGUAUGAAUGGUUUGACAAGAAUAAAGCUGUCUCUUUUUAAAUACAUAGAAUUUGAUUUUUAGGUGAAGAAGCCUAAAUAAAAUUGAAAGACAAGAAGACCCUAUCGAGCUUGAAAACUUUUUACUGUAUAAUGAUUAAAUCAAAUUUCAAUAAAAAUUUUUAGUUGGGGCGACUGAGGAACAAAAAAGCUUCCUUUAAAAUUUCUUGCUUAUAAGUUUUGAUCCAAAAUAUUUGAUUAAAAAAAUUAGUUACCGUAGGGAUAACAGCAUAAUUUUUCUUGAGAGUUCAUAUCGAAAGAAAAGUUUGUGACCUCGAUGUUGGACUAGGAUAUCCUGACAGAUGUAGAAGUCUUCAAUGGUUGGUCUGUUCGACCA
rnacentral:rRNA from 1 species